CGUAGGUAACCUGCCCAUGUGUCCGGGAUAACUGCUGGAAGCGGUAGCUAAAACCGGAUAGGUAUACAGAGCGCAUGCUCAGUAUAUUAAAGCGCCCAUCAAGGCGUGAACAUGGAUGGACCUGCGGCGCAUUAGCUAGUUGGUGAGGUAACGGCCCACCAAGGCGAUGAUGCGUAGCCGGCCUGAGAGGGUAAACGGCCACAUUGGGACUGAGACACGGCCCAA
rnacentral:rRNA from 1 species